GACCGCUCCGGUGGUCUAGUGGUUGAAGCGUCCGCCUCGGAUGCGGGAGGUCGUGGGUUCGAUCCCCUGUCGAGUCA